rnacentral:misc_RNA from 1 species
GCCAUCCUUUACUAUCCAUAAGGUAUGCCCUUCAUCUCACAUCUUCAGGCCUUCAAGGAGAAUAGAUUAAAGGCCCAUUUGGUUGUAGCAUUGGAAUCUGAAAUCAAGAAUGUAUUGGCAACCAGAAUGGUAAAUUACCUUGCAUGUUUGCUUCAACGUGCACAUAGAUUUUGAUUCCUUUUCUGACUAUUGGGUAAUUUCAAGUCUUGUCAUCCAACAUCUAAUCUGAUUUUUGCUAUUUUUUUUCCAGAUAGUAAUGAGGCUUUGAUUGUGUGCUUCAAGAAAUUUCUAAUGCUUGAGUUGCUAUUUUGAUGGUUUUAGUAUGAUAUAUUGUUUCAUGCUGUUCUGUGGAAAUGCAUCUCAAGAUCUGCUAUGUUGAUCAUAAAAUGGUGAAUAAGAUGUAUUAUUUGGGGCACACAGAAAAGAUGAUUUCCCCCCUUUUCUCUGCAAUACUGAAAAAUUGUGCCAACCCUUGCACACUUGCAUUACAAAAAGAAUGCUAUGAACAUUGAAAGUUGCUUGAAACAAAGGCAAACAUAAAAUUGAAUGACCUUUUGUCCUUUUCUUUUGGAAUAAUCCAUAUAGAAGCUUUACUUUAAAGAAAAGAUCUAUUAAAGUCCCUCAACUAUUAUUUUGACCUAUUGGGCCUUUGAAUUUCUAUUUUUGAAAAUAUUGAGUCCAAUUUGUCCAAAAAGCAGCUCUGGAGUGUUAAAUGUUUUCUUAUAGAUUAAUAAAUGACAAAAGAUAGAAAGUGGUGGAUUGAAUUUAAUUUUUUUUUGCAUAUGCAUGGACAAAUUGGAUUCAAUAGAUACACAAAUAAAAAUUCAACGGUUAAUAUGUCAAGUUUUAAUAGUUAUUUUUCUCUUAGGUUCAGGUAAUGGGCAGCUUUCCUGCUGAAUGAAUUGAUCCAUUAAAUGAUGUGCUAAGAUCUUUGAUUGGAUUAAAAUAAAAGCUGUGCCCUAACAAGCUAUACAUGAUGUCUUUUUAGGGGGCAGCUUUUAUUUUAAUUGUAAUAGAAAAUGAUAUAAAUAUUUUCUCUUGCAAAAAUAUCUAUUGUGAGAUUUCUUGGAGAAUUGUAAUUGGUUACUGUGAUGGGGCAAUGAUUCUUUAACUGAUUUGAUAUUUAUGCUUGCAGACAUAGGCAGAUGCUUCUAGAAAAUCUUACAGAUCUGUUUUUUGUCUUUUCUUUAUUGUACGGACUGGAUUCUUUCAAAUCCAUUCUCAAAAAUUCCCUCACUUUCAACAAAGAAAAUAACAGGAUUAAAAGAAUACAAGGAGAUGAACAAG